GGCUCCUAAUGAGAUGGAACAUAUAAAGAAUCCACACUCGUUCUAAGUCUGUGAGUAAUUUUGGUUCCUUAAAAAUUACUUAAUUUUUGUCACAGUAAUUGGGUUCAGUAUAGACUAAAGCUCUGAUCUCUGUCAACACAGUUUUGUUCUCUUACAAGAAGUUGACGCUAAGAUUUGAAACAAACAACACUUGUAGAAAUUAGCAGCAACACAACGGCAUCACAAGGUAAACAAAAUAUAUUGUCCAUAUUAAUUAAUACUUAUUGUGCUUGGAUUUAAGGUGAAAAGAUCAUUAUUUGAAAAGAUCAUUAUGUCAAUAUUGGCUGCAUCUAGAAAGCUUUGAAUGCAUCUAGAAGUGUUGAAUAAACUAGAAUGUUUGGCAUGGCUGUAUCUAGAAGCUUUGACAAGAAUGGUUGGCACUUGGCUUUGAGAAAUUCUAGAUGCCGUAAGCUUGAGGUUUUGGCCACUUGUUUGACAUUUGAGAUAAAAUUUUGCCUAUAAAUACAAGCUCUCAAUCUAGAGCUUGUAUCCAAAUCCCAGAGAUGGAAUCCAAGUUUUGGUGAGAAAUUAAGAGGGAGAAAUAUUCUUAAGCAUGUAGUUAUAUUGAAGGAGCAUUUGGCUCCUCAAUAUGGGUAUUACGGGUUUGCUUUGUUAAGGGGUAUUUCUCAGGAUUAUGUAUUUGGGGCUUGGGUGAGAGAGAAUUAUUUCUGAGAGUGGUUGUAAUAAUUUUCCACAUAGUGAAUAUUUUUCUCUGGUUGUCUUAUGACAACGGCCGUGGUUUUUCUCCGGAUUUGGAGUUUUCCACGUAAAUCUUGUGUUGUUUGAUUGGUGUAUUCUCCAUUUAAUUUUUCUUAUUAAUUUGUUGCUUGAUAAAUUGCUUGGAGAGAUCUUGGGAGGAAACUCAAUUUCCUAACAGUGGUAUCAGAGCCAUUGAUUGAAGUUUUGGUGUCGGGGUACUAUUCACGUAUACGGUACUGUUCACGUGAAGCAGUGGGAGCCAAUCCAAAUAAUCUAUGGUGAAGAGAAUAUGAAGCAAAUAUGUCAACAGCUGGUGUUUUUCAAACUUGGUUGAAGUUUGAUGUUGUUGAAAAAUUAAUGGGAGAAUGAUUUUAUUGGCUUGUGGAGAAUUCAAGUCAAAGGUGUAUCUAAUCUGGUAUGCACAAAGAUUUGAAGGUGUGGAUAAUUUUGGCACCUCAAGAAAAUUGUCAAGAAGGUGGAGUGGGCUCGGCAAAUUACUCCAAAAUCAGUAAAGGAGACACUGAUAUUCUCGCAGAUGGUGAGUUUCCUUUUGAUAGGAGACUGUGUUAGUUCUUUUGGCAUGUAGAUCUCCAAGUUGCCAUGAAAGAGAACAUGUUAUGAUCAGUGGGGUCCACAAGUUUGCACGCGGGCAUUGGCUUGGUAUAAAUGCAAGGUGUGUGGUGGAAAAGUUAUGUCAUGGCUGAAGAAUUCUCAGGGAAACCAAGCAUGAGAAUUGCACCAUAAUUUUCAGCGGAUAUGUUCGACAUGUGCCGGGAAAAAAAAUUCUUAGAAUUGGUAAUUAAUUCUAAGUGGUAUACUCUUUAUGGUGGAGUAUGAUAAUUCUCUAUGUUGAGAAUUAUGACUAAAGGUGAAGACAACAAGGGUGGUGUGAAGAUUGAUUGAUUCUCAAUCAAAUCUCCAAGUGGGAGAAUGUCAAUAUUGGCUGCAUCUAGAAAGCUUUGAAUGCAUCUAGAAGUGUUGAAUAAACUAGAAUGUUUGGCAUGGCUGCAUCUAGAAGCUUUGACAAGAAUGGUUGGCACUUGGCUUUGAGAAAUUCUAGAUGCCGUAAGCUUGAGGUUUUGGCCACUUGUUUGACAUUUGAGAUAAAAUUUUGCCUAUAAAUACAAGCUCUCAAUCUAGAGCUUGUAUCCAAAUCCCAGAGAUGGAAUCCAAGUUUUGGUGAGAAAUUAAGAGGGAGAAAUAUUCUUAAGCAUGUAGUUAUAUUGAAGGAGCAUUUGGCUCCUCAAUAUGGGUAUUACGGGUUUGCUUUGUUAAGGGGUAUUUCUCAGGAUUAUGUAUUUGGGGCUUGGGUGAGAGAAAAUUAUUUCUGAGAGUGGUUGUAAUAAUUUUUCACAUAGUGAAUAUUUUUCUCUGGUUGUCUUGUGACAACGGCCGUGGUUUUUCUCCGGAUUUAGAGUUUUCCACGUAAAUCUUGUAUUGUUUGAUUGGUGUAUUCUCCAUUUAAUUUUUCUUAUUAAUUUAUUGCUUGAUAAAUUGCUUAGAGAGAUCUUGGGGGGAAACUCAAUUUCCUAACACAUUACAGUACAUUAUUUGAAGAACCAGCAUAAUUAAUUUCGAAAAGAUUAAUAUUAAACAGGAUUAAGAAAGCUGCGGAGUACAGAUCAGAAGAGAGGCGCACCCACCGCAAAACAAGGUCAAGACCUAACACGCCCCUCCAAGAAAAAAGGAAAAAAAAAAAAAAAAAGACAAACAGACAAUUAAACAUCAAACUAACAGACACUUCACACGCAGAACUGUCCUGCUAAGAAUUAGUGGACAAACCCUAGACGGUUGGCUAUUUUUAUUUUAUUUUAUUUUAUUUCUUCCGCAUUGAGACGUACACUACUACCACUACAUGUUACUGCAUGUCUAAACAGAACAUGGAUUGAUCCUGAGCUUGUUACUGCAUGCAUGCUGGAUGCAUAAAUUAG
rnacentral:lncRNA from 1 species